GAUGAACGCUGGCGGCGUGCCUAAUACAUGCAAGUCGAGCGAACGGACGAGAAGCUUGCUUUUCUGAUGUUAGCGGCGGACGGGUGAGUAACACGUGGAUAACCUACCUAUAAGACUGGGAUAACUUCGGGAAACCGGAGCUAAUACCGGAUAAUAUUUUGAACCGCAUGGUUCAAAAGUGAAAGACGGUCUUGCUGUCACUUAUAGAUGGAUCCGCGCUGCAUUAGCUAGUUGGUAAGGUAACGGCUUACCAAGGCAACGAUGCAUAGCCGACCUGAGAGGGUGAUCGGCCACACUGGAGCUGAGGCACGGUCCAGACUCCUACGGGAGGCAGCAGUAGGGAAUCUUCCGCAAUGGGCGAAAGCCUGACGGAGCAACGCCGCGUGAGUGAUGAAGGUCUUCGGAUCGUAAAACUCUGUUAUUAGGGAAGAACAUAUGUGUAAGUAACUGUGCACAUCUUGACAGUACCUAAUCAGAAAGCCACGGCUAACUACGUG
rnacentral:rRNA from 1 species